GACGAACGCUGGCGGCGUGCUUAACACAUGCAAGUCGAACGGAAAGGCCCUGCUUUUGUGUGGUGCUCGAUUGGCGAACGGGUGAGUAACACGUGAGUAACCUGCCCUUGACUUUGUGAUAACUUCAGGAAACUGGGGCUAUUACCGGAUAGGAUCUCCUGCUGCAUGUUGGUGGUUGGAAAGUUUCGGCGUUGGGGGCUGGACUCGCGGCUUACCAGCUUGUUUGUGGGGUAGGUGCUUACCAAGCGUUUGACGGAUAGCCUGCCUGAGAGGGUGACCAGCGACAUGGGGACUGAGGUAGGGACCAGAAUGGAACGGGAGGCAGCAGGCGGGAAUAUUGCACAAUGGGCGGGAGCGUGAUGCAGCAACGCCGCGUGCGGGAUGACGUCCUUCGGGUUGUAAACAGAUUUCGACUGUGACGAAGCGUGAGUGACGGUAAUGGGUAAAGAAGCACCGGCUAACUACGUG
rnacentral:rRNA from 1 species